rnacentral:snoRNA from 15 species
GAUGUGAAGCAGUGAUGAGAAACUGGAUCUGACUGGCUGUGCUGAGUUUGUUCAAUCCAACCCUGAGCUUCACGUU